rnacentral:rRNA from 1 species
GAUGAACGCUGGCGGCGUGCUUAACACAUGCAAGUCGAACGGAAAGGCCCAAGCUUGCUUGGGUACUCGAGUGGCGAACGGGUGAGUAACACGUGGGUGAUCUGCCCUGCACUUCGGGAUAAGCCUUGGAAACUGGGUCUAAUACCGGAUAGGACCACAUUUUGGAUGGUGUGGUGGAAAGUUUUUCGGUGUGGGAUGAGCUCGCGGCCUAUCAGCUUGUUGGUGGGGUAAUGGCCUACCAAGGCGUCGACGGGUAGCCGGCCUGAGAGGGUGUACGGCCACAUUGGGACUGAGAUACGGACCAGACUCCUACGGGAGGCAGCAGUGGGGAAUAUUGCACAAUGGGCGCAAGCCUGAUGCAGCGACGCCGCGUGGGGGAUGACGGCCUUCGGGUUGUAAACUCCUUUCGCUAGGGACGAAGCGCAAGUGACGGUACCUGGAGAAGAAGCACCGGCUAACUACGUG